GGGAUUAGAUACCCCACUAUGCUCAGCCAUAAACAUAGACAAUACAAAUACAACAUUGUUCGCCAGAGAACUACAAGUGAAAAACUCAAAACUCCAAGGACUUGGCGGUGUCCCACACCGACCUAGAGGAGCCUGUCCUACAAUCGAUACCCCACGUUAAACCCAACCACCUCUCGCCAGUCAGCCUAUAUACCGCCGUCGUCAGCCCACCUUAUGAAAGAAGAAUAGUUGGCAAAAUAGUUAACAACAAACACGUCAGGUCAAGGUGUAGCACAUGAGGUGGCAGAGAUGGGCUACACUCUCUGCCCCAGAACACACGGAUGGCACAGUGAAACCUGUGCCUAAAGGCGGAUUUAGCAGUAAGACAAACAAGUAUUCCUGUCUUAAAACAGCUCUGGGACGCGCACACACCGCCCGUCACCCUCAUCACACAACAAGACCAAAAACAUAUAACCCAAUCACACCACAGAUGAGGCAAGUCGUAACAUGGUAAG
rnacentral:rRNA from 1 species